rnacentral:rRNA from 1 species
AUUGAACGCUGGCGGCAGGCCUAACACAUGCAAGUCGAGCGAGUGGCGGACGGGUGAGUAAUGUCUGGGAAACUGCCCGAUGGAGGGGGAUAACUACUGGAAACGGUAGCUAAUACCGCAUACCAUUGGAUGUGCCCAGAUGGGAUUAGCUUGUAGGUGAGGGAACGGCUCACCUAGGCGACGAUCCCUAGCUGGUCUGAGAGGAUGACCAGCAACAUUGGAAAGGAGACACGGUCCAGACUCCUACGGGAGGCAGAAAUGGGGAAGAUGGCACAAUGGGGGCAAGCCGGAUGCAGCCAUGCCGCGUGUAUGAAGAAGGCCUUCGGGUUGUAAAGUACUUUCAGCGGGGAGGCGGUACCCGCAGAAGAAGCACAGGCUAACUCCGUGCCAGCAGCCGCGGUAAUAC